CUACGUAGGGUGCAAGCGUUAAUCGGAAUUACUGGGCGUAAAGCGUGCGCAGGCGGUUUGGAAAGAAAGGUGUGAAAUCCCAGAGCUUAACUUUGGAACUGCACUUUUAACUGCCAAGCUAGAGUAUGUCAGAGGGGGGUAGAAUUCCACGUGUAGCAGUGAAAUGCGUAGAGAUGUGGAGGAAUACCGAUGGCGAAGGCAGCCCCCUGGGCUAAUACUGACGCUCAUGCACGAAAGCGUGGGGAGCAAACAGGAUUAGAUACCCUGGUAGUCCACGCCCUAAACGAUGUCAACUAGCUGUUGGGGCCUUCGGGCCUUAGUAGCGCAGCUAACGCGUGAAGUUGACCGCCUGGGGAGUACGGUCGCAAGAUUAAA
rnacentral:rRNA from 1 species